AAAAAAAAACAGUAAAACCACAGUACUGUUCGCCAGAGAACUACAAGCGAAAAACUUAAAACUCUAAGGACUUGGCGGUGCUCCACACCGACCUAGAGGAGCCUGUCCUACAAUCGAUACCCCACGUUCAACCUCACCCCCUCUUGAAAACCAGCCUAUAUACCGCCGUCGACAGCCUACCUUAUGAAAGAAAUAAAGUGAGCAUAACAGUUAUUAACUAGUACGUCAGGUCAAGGUGUAGCAAACGAGGCGGCAGAGAUGGGCUACAUUUCCUACCACAGGAAAAACGAACAGCGUGCUGAAACAUACACUUGAAGGCGGAUUUAGCAGUAAGAUAAACAAGAGAUGCUAUCUAA
rnacentral:rRNA from 1 species